rnacentral:rRNA from 1 species
UACAGAGGUUUCAAGCGUUGUUCGGAUUCAUUGGGCUUAAAGGGUGCGUAGGCGGCGCGGUAAGUCGGGUGUGAAAUCUUGGAGCUUAACUCCGAAACUGCAUUCGAUACUGCGGUGCUUGAGGACUAGAGAGGAGACUGGAAUUCAUGGUGUAGCAGUGAAAUGCGUAGAGAUCAUGAGGAAGACCAGUGGCGAAGGCGGGUCUCUGGACAGUUCCUGACACUGAGACACGAAGGCCAGGGGAGCAAACGGG